ACCAUCAAGAAGCCGUAUGUUAGAUGUGUUCUUCCACCCUUGUUCCUCGUACAGGAUUGACAGAGGAAUGGCUAACACUCCUGAGACUGAUCUUCAGCUCUCCUAGGAAGCUGGGAGAAGAUCUGUCGGUCAUGGGUGACCUCCAAAUUGUGCGUUGUGCUAAAUGUGACAUCAGAAUAGUUGGAUUUUAUCUUACAGAAUCUUUGCGCUAUCUGAUGGUCAGAGACCACCAGGAGUACAUCUGCAGUUGGAUUGCAAUUGUAUUUGUUGCCAUUCCUACAACUGAACAAAAGCACAACCAUAGGAAACCUUGAAGGUAUCAGGAAAGAGGUGUUUAGAAAGAGGCAAAGACAAAUGAAGCUGAUCUGAACGAGGCUGACUUCUCAGUUUGCACACCUUGAAGAAACAAACUGCCACAUUAAGGAGGUCUAACUGGCCAGAAAUUAAACAAGGAAAGCCUA